ACUUCAGCCUUCAUACCUUUGUUCUUGGAAAGACUUUGCCCACCUCUCUAAGUAGCAGAUCCUGACACUCUCUAUUCACUUCGGGACAGGGUUUCUCCUCCAGGAGCAGUGUGGGGCAGUGAGUUAGGAAAAAGCCUAAAGUCAGAGAGACCCAGGUCUAAUCCCAACAUAGUAGCUGACUUUGGCCAAGCAAUUUGAACAAACGCUCAAUUUCCUGAUGCGAACAAAUAAGGAAGAUAAAGCCAACUUAUGCUUUUAUUUUUUUUUAGACAGGGUCUUGCUCUGUCACCCAGGCUGGAGUACAGUGGCAUGAUCAUAGCUCACUGCAUCUUCUAACUCCUGGGCUCAAGUGAUCCUCCGGCCUCAGCCUCCUAAGUGGCUGGGACUACAGAUUAUUCCAUGAGGUGGGCCUCAUCCAAUCAGUUGAAGACCUUAAGAAAAAAGACUGACCUCUCCCGAGAAGAAGGAAUACUGACAGCAGACUCCCUUUGAACUCAAACUGCAACAUCAACUCUUCUCUGGGUCUACAGCCUGCUGGCCUACCCUGCAAACUCUGAACUUGCCAGUCUCCUCAAUCAUCUUUGGAAACAGCCUGAGAUCAGCCUGAGAUCAGACAGAGGAGGCCAACUCACAAGCUGGUUAUCAGAGGACUGCUGGAUUCUCAUAUUUGGUACUGCCUUCAAUAUGUUGCUCUAUGGCGUUUUGAUGGAAGGACAUGAAGAAAAUCUAGACUCACACAGAUACAUAGUUGGAAAUGGGUGAAGUAUUUUCAUCAUCUUUUGAUAACUGUGGAUAUUCUCUGAUUCUACACCAGAAAUCAACAAGUGGUAGUUUUUAAAAUGUAGAGUCUGAA